UACAGAGGGUGCAAGCGUUAAUCGGAAUUACUGGGCGUAAAGCGUGCGUAGACGGUUACAUAAGUCGGGUGUGAAAGCCCCGGGCUCAACCUGGGAAUUGCAUUCGAGACUGCGUAGCUAGGGUGCGGAAGAGGGAAGCAGAAUUUCCGGUGUAGCGGUGAAAUGCGUAGAUAUCGGGAGGAACACCUGUGGCGAAAGCGGCGCACUGGACCAUAACUGACGCUGAUGCGCGAAAGCUAGGGGAGCAAACAGG
rnacentral:rRNA from 1 species